rnacentral:ncRNA from 2 species
GGAAGGCGGAACCGUCGAGGUUCUCCGCCGCGUCGCUGCGUCGGAGCUAAGACGGGAAGCCGGUGCGAUGCCGGCGCUGCCCCCGCAACUGUAAGCGGUGAGCGGCGGUCGAUGCGUGUCACUGGCGGGUUCACUCGCCGGGAAGGCCAGACCGUUCGUGUCGAUCCGCGAGCCAGGAGACCUGCCUCGGCGCGAUAACGACC